UAGGGAAUCUUCCACAAUGGACGCAAGUCUGAUGGAGCAACGCCGCGUGAGUGAAGAAGGUCUUCGGAUCGUAAAGCUCUGUUGUUGGUGAAGAAGGAUAGAGGCAGUAACUGGUCUUUAUUUGACGGUAAUCAACCAGAAAGUCACGGCUAACUACGUGCCAGCAGCCGCGGUAAUACGUAGGUGGCAAGCGUUGUCCGGAUUUAUUGGGCGUAAAGCGAGCGCAGGCGGAAUGAUAAGUCUGAUGUGAAAGCCCACGGCUCAACCGUGGAACUGCAUCGGAAACUGUCAUUCUUGAGUGCAGAAGAGGAGAGUGGAACUCCAUGUGUAGCGGUGGAAUGCGUAGAUAUAUGGAAGAACACCAGUGGCGAAGGCGGCUCUCUGGUCUGCAACUGACGCUGAGGCUCGAAAGCAUGGGUAGCGAACAGGAUUAGAUACCCUGGUGAGUCCAUGCCG
rnacentral:rRNA from 1 species